rnacentral:rRNA from 1 species
UACGUAGGGGGCAAGCGUUGUCCGGAUUUAUUGGGCGUAAAGCGCGUGUAGGCGGCCAGGUAGGUCCGUUGUGAAAACUCGAGGCUCAACCUCGAGACGUCGACGGAAAACCAUCUGGCUAGAGUCCGGAAGAGGAGAGUGGAAUUCCUGGUGUAGCGGUGAAAUGCGCAGAUAUCAGGAAGAACACCCGUGGCGGAAGGCGGCUCUCUGGGACGGUACUGACGCUGAGACGCGAAAGCGUGGGGAGCGAACAGG